rnacentral:rRNA from 1 species
UUAAGCAUAUCAAUAAGCGGAGGAAAAGAAACCAACAGGGAUUGCCCUAGUAACGGCGAGUGAAGCGGCAACAGCUCAAAUUUGAAAUCUGGCGUCUUCGGCGUCCGAGUUGUAAUUUGCAGAGGGCGCUUUGGCAUUGGCAGCGGUCCAAGUUCCUUGGAACAGGACGUCACAGAGGGUGAGAAUCCCGUACGUGGUCGCUAGCCUUUACCGUGUAAAGCCCCUUCGACGAGUCGAGUUGUUUGGGAAUGCAGCUCUAAAUGGGAGGUAAAUUUCUUCUAAAGCUAAAUACUGGCCAGAGACCGAUAGCGCACAAGUAGAGUGAUCGAAAGAUGAAAAGCACUUUGGAAAGAGAGUUAAAAAGCACGUGAAAUUGUUGAAAGGGAAGCGCUUGCAGCCAGACUUGCCUGUAGUUGCUCAUCCGGGUUUUUACCCGGUGCACUCUUCUAUAGGCAGGCCAGCAUCAGUUUGGGCGGUUGGAUAAAGGUCUCUGUCAUGUACCUCUCUUCGGGGAGAACUUAUAGGGGAGACGACAUGCAACCAGCCUGGACUGAGGUCCGCGCAUCUGCUAGGAUGCUGGCGUAAUGGCUGUAAGCGGCCCGUCUUGAAACACGGACCAAGGAGUCUAACAUCUAUGCGAGUGUUUGGGUGUCAAGCCCGAGCGCGUAAUGAAAGUGAACGGAGGUGGGAACCUUUCGGGGUGCACCAUCGACCGAUCCUGAUGUCUUCGGAUGGAUUUGAGUAAGAGCAUAGCUGUUGGGACCCGAAAGAUGGUGAACUAUGCUUGAAUAGGGUGAAGCCAGAGGAAACUCUGGUGGAGGCUCGCAGCGGUUCUGACGUCCAAUCUAUCUUAGGAUGAAG